UAUGAUAGAGGUUUCCCGGAUGCCACUGGU
rnacentral:piRNA from 1 species